CGCACUCCUUGGUGACGGCGCUCCCCGCUUCCGGGUCCGCUCGGAUGUUUCCGGAUCCGCUCGGCUGUUUCCGGACCGGCCCCGGGCUCGAGAGAGCCCAGACGUGUUUCUGCAGAGGUGGUCGCUGGCGUCUGGCCGUGACCUUCCAAGUGCUGCUCGGAUUACACUCUGUCCGGGACGCAGGCCCAGGCGCUCUCCACGCCCCUCCCCGAGCCGCCUCCGACCGGCCCCUGGCCGCCCUUCCGCAGCAGCUUGGCUCAGUUGUGACACCUAUUCGCUCCACAAGUGGUUCAUGACCUCCUCUGCAAGCCCUAACACACAC